UACAGAGGGUGCGAGCGUUGUCCGGAAUUACUGGGCGUAAAGGGCGCGUAGGCGGCUUGGUAAGUCGGGGGUGAAAGUCAGCGGCUCAACCGCUGGACUGCCUUCGAGACUGCCUGGCUUGAGCAUGGUAGAGGCUGGCGGAAUUCCCGGUGUAGCGGUGGAAUGCGUAGAGAUCGGGAAGAACAUCGGUGGCGAAGGCGGCUACCUGGACCGGUACUGACGCUGAGGCGCGAAAGCUAGGGUAGCAAACAGG
rnacentral:rRNA from 1 species